UAGACUACUGAUUCACGGAAUGUGGACAAUUGAGUUCUUAGACUUAAAACUGAUAAAAACUAAUACUUGUUGGCUUAAUAACGUUUGGAACCGUGAUUUACAAAAGUGAUUCGAGAAUAAAAAUGAAAAUUGUAAACAAUUUAAUUAAUUUGCUCCUUUAAAAAAUCUGGAUAAAGUAAUAAAAGAGUGGACUCACUGUGUAGCCGCGAGUCGAUGCAACAUGUGUGGCGACAUGUCUCGUAACAUCGUGGUAUCGCUCAUGUUGCUAGUUGCACUUAACAUUAUGUCGGUCGCCGGUCGAGAGGAAGGGAUGGACGAAUCACUCGAUCCUGAACACGAAGGCUUAGAAUAUCAUAGAGUUGAAGUUCCCCCUCAAUUAGUAAAACCCUUUGUUAAUGCAAUACGUUUCUAUGAUGGUUAUUAAAUGAGUCAAAUUAAAAUUAAAUUAAUCCACCGACUGAACCAGACUGAAUAAGAGCUCGACUAUUCCCGCGAACCGAAGUUUUAUUAAUUUAUUAUCUACAAUUUGCCAGCGACAUGUUAGUCUAGUAACUAGUUACGUUUGAAUUUAUUUUAAUUGAAAUUAUUAAAAAAAGA